GGAUAAUAAUAAGUAAGCCCACUUUCAUCACUGUUAUCCAAGAUAGUACUGGAAAUCCUAGGUAGAGCAAUUAGACGAGAGAAAGAUACAAAGAGCAUCCAAAUUGGAAAGGAAGAAGUUGAAUUAUCUUUAUUUGCAGA